rnacentral:tmRNA from 1 species
GGGGACGACCUGGUUUCGACGUGGGUUGCAAAGCAGAACAGGGCAUACCGAGGGCUGGUCACCUCGUAAAUACAUCCAGAAACAAACUAACUGCAAACGAUAACUCGUACGCACUGGCAGCCUAAGGGCUGUUAGCUCCACAACACCUCGCCUCUGGGGUGGGCCGUUAAAAGCUGUGGAGUCAUUUACAGAGGCUAGGACUCAACCGGGUUACUUGGUUGCUUCCGAAAUUUAAGGUAACUCGCCUGGCUGAAGGGUGCUCGUCCCCGUCUGACAGGUUAAAUUAAUUGGCAGAGCUAAGUAUGUAGAACUGUCUGUGGAGUGCUUGCGGACGCGGGUUCGAUUCCCGCCGUCUCCACCA